CCUCUGUGCCGAGCCUUCUCGCACCAAGCUCGCCCGACGCCGGCCCUAACCGCCGCACGAGGUGGUUUUCUCCCCCCCCCCCCUCCGUGUACAAACCCUCGGCCAAGCCUCGUCUCUGCCGACUCUUUCUUUUCCCCCUUCUUCCCUACUCCUCUGCCCGUCGCCCUCGCUGUGGAGACUGCCACAGCCGACGCUCCCCUUUCCCCAAGUGUCGGCGACGAUCUGCCAUCGCUAACCUACAUCGCCAGCGACGCCGAGCACCCCUACACCACGUCGCUGCCGCACGGAGGUGCCGUCGGCAUCCCCUGUGCCCUAGCACCAGCAGAUGGUCGCUCUCUCUCUGCUGCGAUUUGGCAGCACCACUGACACCCGAUUUCAUCUUCCUCCUCAGCCCUAGGGUCGGCUACUACCUCUUUUGCCCUAGCCGACACCACCACUGAUCGCUGGAGGGGGGAAAGGUUAUCCGGACUUCAAGGUUUCUGCCGAGCCCUAGCUUGGUCUUCACUGCCGUGCCCUAGGUUUCCCCCUUUCAUGUGAGUGAGGUUUGGUAUCAAUGGGAUUAAGCUGUUGUUGGAGCUGAGGAAUCCGAUCAUUAUUCAUACACUUAGGUUGAUGCUGUCCAGAGAGUUCCAGUUGCUAGUCCCCAUGCAAUCCACGAGGAUGGUUAUUUGUCUUUUGGUGUUCUUUUCUAGACUAUGUUUGGACUUGUUCCAUUUUGGAUACUUUGGAUCUUGUAUGGAUUGUUUUACUUGUGGAUGACUUUUAUUUGGAUUUGUUUUUACUA